CCUACGGGGGGCUGCAGUGGGGAAUAUUGCGCAAUGGGCGAAAGCCUGACGCAGCAACGCCGCGUGAGGGAUGAAGGCUUUCGGGUCGUAAACCUCUGUCGGAAGGGAAGAACGGGCAUUGGUCUAAUAGGCCUUUGUUUUGACGGUACCUUUAGAGGAAGCACCGGCUAACUCCGUGCCAGCAGCCGCGGUAAUACGGAGGGUGCAAGCGUUAUUCGGAAUUACUGGGCGUAAAGCGCACGUAGGCGGCUUCGUAAGUCAGGGGUGAAAUCCCACGGCUCAACCGUGGAACUGCCUUUGAAACUGCAAAGCUUGAAUCCUGGAGAGGGUGGCGGAAUUCCUGGUGUAGGAGUGAAAUCCGUAGAUAUCAGGAGGAACACCGGUGGCGAAGGCGGCCACCUGGACAGGUAUUGACGCUGAGGUGCGAAAGUGUGGGGAGCAAACAGGAUUAGAUACCCCGGUAGUC
rnacentral:rRNA from 1 species